AUCAUUACUGAGUCUUUGAAGUGGGUUUGAUGCUGGCCUUCCGAGGUAUGUGCUCGCCCUACUCUCAUCCACUCACACCUGUGCACCUUACGUUGAAGUAGUAAUCGUGUCCCUCUCGGGGUGGCAGGCUAGGGAAACCUAGCUAAUGGUUGCUGCUUUGCGUUACUUUACACAAACUCUUUGAAUGUAUUAGAAUGUCUAUUGGCCUACGGGCUUUAAUGAAAUACAACUUUCAACAACGGAUCUCUUGGCUCUCGCAUCGAUGAAGAACGCAGCGAAAUGCGAUAAGUAAUGUGAAUUGCAGAAUUCAGUGAAUCAUCGAAUCUUUGAACGCACCUUGCGCUCCUUGGUAUUCCGAGGAGCAUGCCUGUUUGAGUGUCGUGAACAUAUCAACCCCGUAGGGAUUUUUAAUCUCGAUGGUGGCUUGGACUUGGGGGUUUGCUGGCGGUUUAUUCGGUCGGCUCCCCUUGAAUAUAUUAGCUUGGACUUGUUCUAUGGGCUACAUGGUGUGAUAAUUAUCUACGCUUUGUACUGUCUGUGGAAUGCUUAUGGGUCUGGCUUCUAAUCGUCCUCUGGACAAUUACUUUACGUU
rnacentral:sRNA from 1 species